GGGGGGGACCCGGGCAAUUGAGGCGCGUGAACCUGGUCAGGGCGGGAACGCAGCAGCCAUAAGCGCGACCUCGAUGUGCCCGGGAGCACCUCCCCGGCUCU
rnacentral:SRP_RNA from 1 species